CUCGCGAGGGCACCACUGGGGCAUACUGGAGCGCAGCCGGGAGAAUUUAUCCGCAACAGGCGAGAGCCUGACGGAGCGAUACCGCGUGUCGGAAGACGUCAUUAGGGUUGUGAACGACUGUCAGAGGGGAAGAAACAAAUGACGGUACCCUCAAAGGAAGCCCCGGGUAAAUUUGUGCCCGCAGCCCCGGUAAAACAGAGGGUGCAAGCGUUUUCUUGAAUUAUUGGGGGUAAAACGUCUGUAGGCGGUCUUUUAAGUUUGAAGUGAAAUACCCGGGGUUAACUCAAUGUAUGCUCCAGAUACUGACAGAGUAGAGUUCGUUGGGGGGUAUUGGGAUUUCCCGGUGUAGUGGUGAAAUAUGUAGAUAUUGGGGAGGGAAUUCCGUGGGGAAAGGGAAUAACUGGGGCGUAACUGACCCUGAGAGUCGAAAACGUGGGGGGCCAAACGGGUUUGAUACCCCUGUAGUUCCCGCCCUUAACGAAGAAUAAUAGAUGUUGCGGGUAUCGACCCCUGCAGUAUCGCAGCUAACGCGUAAGUACUCCGCCUGGGAGUACGUCCAAGUG
rnacentral:rRNA from 1 species